GCGGCUUUAGCUCAGUUGGGAGAGCGUUAGACUGAAGAUCUAAAGGUCCUGUGUUCGAUCCACAGAAGCCGCA
rnacentral:tRNA from 1 species